UACGUAGGGUGCAAGCGUUAAUCGGAAUUACUGGGCGUAAAGCGUGCGCAGGCGGUUUUGUAAGACUGACGUGAAAUCCCCGGGCUCAACCUGGGAAUGGCGUUGGUGACUGCAAGGCUAGAGUUUGGCAGAGGGGGGGUAGAAUUCCACGUGUAGCAGUGAAAUGCGUAGAUAUGUGGAGGAACACCGAUGGCGAAGGCAGCCCCCCUGGGUCAAGAUUGACGCUCAUGCACGAAAGCGUGGGGAGCAAACAGG
rnacentral:rRNA from 1 species